GCUGGCGGCAUGCCUAACACAUGCAAGUCGAACGUGAUCCGGGCUUCGGCCCGGUGAAAGUGGCAGACGGGUGAGUAACGCGUGGGAACCUGCCCGAUGGUAGGGAAUAACCGCGGGAAACUGCGGCUAAUACCCUAUGACCCCCUUGGGGGAAAGAUUCAUCGCCAUCGGAGGGGCCCGCGUCGGAUUAUGUAGUUGGUGGGGUAACGGCCUACCAAGCCUUCGAUCCGUAGCUGGUCUGAGAGGAUGAUCAGCCACACUGGGACUGAGAUACGGCCCAGACUCCUACGGGAGGCAGCAGUGGGGAAUAUUGGACAAUGGGGGCAACCCUGAUCCAGCAAUGCCGCGUGGGUGAUGAAGGCCUUCGGGUUGUAAAGCCCUUUCGGCGGGGAAGAUGAUGACGGUACCCGCAGAAGAAGCCCC
rnacentral:rRNA from 1 species